rnacentral:rRNA from 1 species
UACGAAGGGGGCUAGCGUUGCUCGGAAUCACUGGGCGUAAAGCGCACGUAGGCGGAUUGUUAAGUCAGGGGUGAAAUCCUGGAGCUCAACUCCAGAACUGCCUUUGAUACUGGCGAUCUUGAGUCCGGGAGAGGUGAGUGGAACUGCGAGUGUAGAGGUGAAAUUCGUAGAUAUUCGCAAGAACACCAGUGGCGAAGGCGGCUAACUGGUCCGGUACUGACGCUGAGGUGCGAAAGCGUGGGGAGCAAACAGG